rnacentral:lncRNA from 1 species
CCCUUCGAGUCGUUCUUCCAGCUGGCUUCUGACCUCUUACACAAUGGCAUUUGUAGCCUGCAACGGAAUCAGAAAAACAAAAUAUUAAAUGUGUAUUCCUACCACCUAAAUGAUAGUCAUUACUGGUUUUGGUUGCCAUCUCUAAUUGAUGCAUGCAGAUCCAAAUAUAUAAAAUAAAUGAGAGCAGCGACGGAGAGAUUGUACAGAUAAAGUUUCCAUGAUUCAUUGGCAGCGGCUUAGAUGGCGGCAAGCCAGCGAGUGGACAGAGGCACGAUGUUGGCAUGGACUUCUCCGGAGCAGCAGCAACAGCUGAUUGAUCAUUUACAGAGAUUGUCACUGCCAUUGAAAGUUAAUAAAAGGAAGUCAUGCUUGUGCAUCCUGUAUAUAGUUGGCUAUUUUAUAGAACUAUUGAUCAUUUUCACCUUUCUUUUAGAUCCGCAUAGAAUUUUCCAACAUAUAGCCAUAUAGUUGUGGCAGAAACAGGCAAAUUUAACACAAAAAAUUAUUCAGAAUUAGACUAGUCAACGGCAUUGUGAGCAUACUCUAAAUGAAUCAGGCUUCUCCCUGAUCGAAAU